GAGUUUUUAAUUUAAAGGAAGUGUGCUGGAUGGCGGAUGAUGAAGACCGGAGGUUCAGGGCUGCAAAAGGUCAGGGAUGUAGGUGAUGCCCGUAGCCACAGCAGGUUAGCAGUUUGUUUGCAGACACCAGGACACAGAGCUGAGCUUCUCCAGGGCGGCUAGUCAGGUUAGCAGAACUUAGGAGACACCAGAGCACAGAGCAGUGCCUCUUCAGGAUGGCUAGUCCAGUUAGCAGUUCUCUGGAGACACCAGGACACAGAGCAGAACUUCUCCAGGCACAAACAGCAAAGUAUGAGUCAAUAGAAACUGGCAGGACUAACCUUAA